AACGAACGCUGGCGGCAUGCCUAACACAUGCAAGUCGAACGAUGCUUUCGGGCAUAGUGGCGCACGGGUGCGUAACGCGUGGGAAUCUGCCCUUGGGUUCGGAAUAACAGUGAGAAAUUGCUGCUAAUACCGGAUGAUGUCUUCGGACCAAAGAUUUAUCGCCCAGGGAUGAGCCCGCGUAGGAUUAGCUAGUUGGUGGGGUAAUGGCCUACCAAGGCGACGAUCCUUAGCUGGUCUGAGAGGAUGAUCAGCCACACUGGGACUGAGACACGGCCCAGACUCCUACGGAAGGCAGCAGUGGGGAAUAUUGGACAAUGGGCGCAAGCCUGAUCCAGCAAUGCCGCGUGAGUGAUGAAGGCCUUAGGGUUGUAAAGCUCUUUUACCCGGGAUGAUAAUGACAGUACCGGGAGAAUAAGCUCCGGCUAACUCCGUG
rnacentral:rRNA from 1 species